rnacentral:rRNA from 1 species
CACGUAGUUGGCCGGUCCUUCUUCUGUUCCUACCGUCAGGUUACCUUCGUCGGAACUGAAAGCGGUUUACAACCCGAAGGCCGUCAUCCCGCACGCGGCGUUGCUGCAUCAGGCUUUCGCCCAUUGUGCAAUAUUCCCCACUGCUGCCUCCCGUAGGAGUCUGGGCCGUAUCUCAGUCCCAGUGUGGCCGGUCGCCCUCUCAGGCCGGCUACCCGUCGAAGCCUUGGUGAGCCGUUACCUCACCAACAAGCUGAUAGGCCGCGAGCCCAUCCUUGACCGUCGGAGCUUUCCACCUCCAGAUGAUGCCAUCGAAGGUCGUAUCCGGUAUUAGCAGCUGUUUCCAGCUGUUAUUCCAGUGUCAAGGGUAGGUUGCUCACGUGUUACUCACCCGUUCGCCACUAACCACAGACCCGAAGGUCUGAGGUCCGUUCGACUUGCAUGUGUUAAGCACGCCGCCAGCGUUGUCCUGAGCCAGGAUCAAACUCU